AUUCUCAAGUCUCAUCAUGUUGUCAUAACCCAAGAAGAACAGAUGUUAUCUCCACUAUACAGAUGAGAAGACUGAUUUCCAAGAGAACCACUUCCGGGCCUGCACACUUCCGGGCACUCAUCGAAAUGCAGCGAGAGGAACAUCAUUCCCACACUAGCCCCAGAGGAGGCGAGACCUUCAGGAUGCAGGAUGUGGCCAUGUGCUUCUACAGCUACUGUGAUUCUCUGUGCAGGGGUUGCCUGGGCACAAGCACUGUCUCCAUGACAGCCUGGACAGAUGUGGGAUGCGUAGACCUCGUGGGCCAAUGAACACACCCGGAAGUCCUGACCCUGAGUCCCGCCAGUGUCAAGCUCUAGACGUGCACCCUGGGGUGAGUCUCUUCCUCGUCUGAGCCUCAGUUUCCUCCACUGUAAAAUGGUGUUGCUAAC